CGUAUUUGGCCUUGGUGUAAAGGUCAGUGAGUUGAAAUAAGGAUGAUAACAGCAGAGCUGAUGGUUUCAUUUUAUUAAUGAAAUAUCUACUGCGUUACCUACAAGGUGUGUGACACUGGCCUAUGCGCUGCAGAAGUGAAGCAGACACAGAUGUGGCUUCAAGUAUGUUCCUGCCCAGGAAAGGCAGCAGGCAAGGACCUGUACAGGCAACCCGGAGGACUCGCCACCUUCAGUCCACAAGGUUGCACUUGGGAUAAGGAAGGAAAUUCAAUGCCUUUGCACAUACUGUCCCUCUGCCUAGUCGGCUCCUCAGCGUCCUUCAGUAUUCAACUUAGUAUCGCCUCCUCCGAGAAGGCAAGUCUCCUCUGCUGCUUGCCACCCUCCUUGUCUGCAGCUGGAGUGAAGAGCCACUCUCCCAGUGCUUGGGCUCCCACCUGCCCAUGGAAAAUUUGUCUGAACACUGAAGUCUGCGGCCAUCUUGCUGGGAUUCAUUCAUAUCUGAGAAGGGGUUUCUGCUCUCACUUGAAACCCUCCACAGCCCACCACCAAUUCCUCUUCAAUCUGGCUCUCCCAGAGCAAAGAAAGAACAGCUGUGCAGAGAGGUAACCAUGACUCCAUAAUUUCCAGCCAACUCUGAAUAACAACAAAGGCCUGAAAUACGAGAAAAUGAAAGUCUUCUUUGGAGCAAACAUUCUGAUCAGCUUCAUCCUAACCCUUGCAGUAUCGGCGAUGUUUUGUGUUUGGGAGAGAGCCGUGGUUCAUGGGCUUUUAAGCAUGGAGACCCAGGAAUUGGGAGAAGCAAUUUGGUAAAAUUUCCUCUUUGCUACCUGGUCUCAUUUACUGGUAAGUCUGAACCCCACCA